rnacentral:rRNA from 1 species
GAUGAACGCUGGCGGCGUGCCUAAUACAUGCAAGUCGAGCGAACGGACGAGAAGCUUGCUUUUCUGAUGUUAGCGGCGGACGGGUGAGUAACACGUGGAUAACCUACCUAUAAGACUGGGAUAACUUCGGGAAACCGGAGCUAAUACCGGAUAAUAUUUUGAACCGCAUGGUUCAAAAGUGAAAGACGGUCUUGCUGCCACUUAUAGAUGGAUCCGCGCUGCAUUAGCUAGUUGGUAAGGUAACGGCUUACCAAGGCAACGAUGCAUAGCCGACCUGAGAGGGUGAUCGGCCACACUGGAACUGAGACACGGUCCAGACUCCUACGGGAGGCAGCAGUAGGGAAUCUUCCGCAAUGGGCGAAAGCCUGACGGAGCAACGCCGCGUGAGUGAUGAAGGUCUUCGGAUCGUAAAACUCUGUUAUUAGGGAAGAACAUAUGUGUAAGUAACUGUGCACAUCUUGACGGUACCUAAUCAGAAAGCCACGGCUAACUACGUGCCAGCAGCCGCGGUAAUACGUAGGUGGCAAGCGUUAUCCGGAAUUAUUGGGCGUAAAGCGCGCGUAGGCGGUUUUUUAAGUCUGAUGUGAAAGCCCACGGCUCAACCGUGGAGGGUCAUUGGAAACUGGAAAACUUGAGUGCAGAAGAGGAAAGUGGAAUUCCAUGUGUAGCGGUGAAAUGCGCAGAGAUGUGGAGGAACACCAGUGGCGAAGGCGACUUUCUGGUCUGUAACUGACGCUGAUGUGCGAAAGCGUGGGGAUCAAACAGGAUUAGAUACCCUGGUAGUCCACGCCGUAAACGAUGAGUGCUAAGUGUUAGGGGGUUUCCGCCCCUUAGUGCUGCAGCUAACGCAUUAAGCACUCCGCCUGGGGAGUACGACCGCAAGGUUGAAACUCAAAGGAAUUGACGGGGGCCCGCACAAGCGGUGGAGCAUGUGGUUUAAUUCGAAGCAACGCGAAGAACCUUACCAAAUCUUGACAUCCUUUGACAACUCUAGAGAUAGAGCCUUCCCCUUCGGGGGACAAAGUGACAGGUGGUGCAUGGUUGUCGUCAGCUCGUGUCGUGAGAUGUUGGGUUAAGUCCCGCAACGAGCGCAACCCUUAAGCUUAGUUGCCAUCAUUAAGUUGGGCACUCUAAGUUGACUGCCGGUGACAAACCGGAGGAAGGUGGGGAUGACGUCAAAUCAUCAUGCCCCUUAUGAUUUGGGCUACACACGUGCUACAAUGGACAAUACAAAGGGCAGCGAAACCGCGAGGUCAAGCAAAUCCCAUAAAGUUGUUCUCAGUUCGGAUUGUAGUCUGCAACUCGACUACAUGAAGCUGGAAUCGCUAGUAAUCGUAGAUCAGCAUGCUACGGUGAAUACGUUCCCGGGUCU